UACGAAGGGGGCUAGCGUUGCUCGGAAUCACUGGGCGUAAAGCGCACGUAGGCGGAUUUCUAAGUUAGGGGUGAAAUCCUGGAGCUCAACUCCAGAACUGCCUUUGAUACUGGGAAUCUUCGAGUCCGGGAGAGGUGAGUGGAACUGCGAGUGUAGAGGUGAAAUUCGUAGAUAUUCGCAAGAACACCAGUGGCGAAGGCGGCUCACUGGCCCGGUACUGACGCUGAGGUGCGAAAGCGUGGGGAGCAAACAGG
rnacentral:rRNA from 1 species